rnacentral:lncRNA from 10 species
CUAAUUACAGCUGUGCUUCCUGCUAUGAAGAAGUGUUAGGUGUUACAAAUGCAUAUGAUGGGGCAGCUAAUCUAUUUAAGGCAGGCCAAGAGAGGGCUGAAGAGGGGCUGGGUAGCUGAAAUCCAAAGCAGGUGAAGUUAGUUAGCUUGAUUAGCCCUUGAAGUGAGUGCUGGGGAGGAGUGGAGAGUUCCAGGCACAGAGAAGAACAAGGAUGAAGACCAGAAGAUGGGCAAACUGAGACCCCAAGCCCUGGAGAGAUGUGUUCAGACAGAUGUGCAAGUCCCCCCUGCUCCAGCCCACUGUGGCUCCGGGCUUCAGUCUUCAGUUGGCCUUUGUUCUGCCACUUUCUCCUGGAAGUCACGCCUCUCUCUCUUCCUGCCUCCCACAUCACAGGAGUCUGCACGCACCCAACCAGCUCAAAAGGCUCUGACAGAUGAUCCCUGCUAUGGCCCCAGCGUGAAGAAGCCAAGACUAGCCUGCUGGGUAAUGAGAGAUAGAUGGCCCAGUGAUUCCUGCUUCCUAGCCAAUAGCCAGCAAGCCCCAGAAGCAGAGCCACCUAGGUAAAUGGCAGAUGACUGCAGACACUUGGAGGAGCCCACCCAAGAUCAGCAAAAGAACUGCCCAGUUGAGCCUGGCCCAAAAUGCUGACCCUCAGAAUCAUCAGCUAAAUAUGCAAUUUAUAUUUUAAGCCACAGUUUCUUAUCCAUAGAGUGGAAGUAAUAAUAGUGUUUUCUUACUAGGGUUUUUAUAUAGAUUAAUUAGAGUAACUGAGACAUGUAAAGUUCUGAAAACAACACCUCGCACAAUAAAUGUUGAUUCUUCUUUUAUAAUAAUAAUCACCACCAUCUCCUCCUCCUCCUUCCACCAUAUUUCCAGAUAUAGAAAAAUCCACUUUGUAGUCUUUCUGCUACUGAAGAACAUUUAGAUUAUCUGUGUUUUUGCCAUGAACAUCCUUGUACUUGCCUCUUUGAGUGUUUCUGCAAGUUUGUCUCCAGGGUAGAUACGGAGAAGGAGAAGAACUGGAUCAUAGAGCAUAUGUGUCUUGAAUUUUAAAAGAUAUUCUCAAAUUUAUGCACCUCCCAGCAGCAAGGGGGCUCCCAUUUCCUCCACACUCACACCUGUACUUGCUGUCACCAGAAAUGCUGCCUCU